CCACCGAUAGCUCAGUAGGUAGAGCGGAGGACUGUAGAACCUUUUGUCGCUGGUUCGAAUCCGGCUCGGUGGA
rnacentral:tRNA from 1 species